UAGGGAAUAUUGGGCAAUGGAGGGAACUCUGACCCAGCCAUGCCGCGUGCAGGAUGAAGGCGUUAUGCGUUGUAAACUGCUUUUAUAUAGGAAGAAAUAGUCCUUGCGAGGAAAGUUGACGGUACUAUAUGAAUAAGCACCGGCUAACUCCGUGCCAGCAGCCGCGGUAAUACGGAGGGUGCAAGCGUUGUCCGGAUUUAUUGGGUUUAAAGGGUGCGUAGGCGGUUUAUUAAGUCAGUGGUGAAAGACGGUCGCUCAACGAUUGCAGUGCCAUUGAUACCGGUAGACUUGAGUAUGAUUGAGGUAGCUGGAAUGGAUAGUGUAGCGGUGAAAUGCAUAGAUAUUAUCCAGAACACCAAUUGCGUAGGCAAGUUACUAAGUCAUAACUGACGCUGAGGCACGAAAGUGUGGGUAUCAAACAGGAUUAGAUACCCCCGUAGUCCCUGAGCGGGCUGGCAAGGCGCAU
rnacentral:rRNA from 1 species